CUCAAAUGUACACCCAAGAAAGCGGCACCGCGUAAAGACGCUGGCGCAAAAGGAUGUGCCCUCGGCAAAAGUGAUGCCGAUGAGGUCAACGCCGGUGAGCGCAGCCGCGUGAAAGCCUGGACGACCAGAUGCGAUCGCCAUGGCCGUCUUGAAAUGGUCAUAGGGCGUCGCGGCGCGGGCGCGACAAUCGGCGACGAGCACGGCCGUCACCAUCGCAUGCCAUGCGCCACCAACGUCAUACCAGCAGAUGUCGUCAUACGGGCGUCGCUCCACGGGCGCAUACACAUUGCGUACGGCACCAAAAGACCGCUUGGCCACGUAGGCGACCUCGGUCGGAGCGAGGCCGGCGGCCGUCCACGCCGGAUCAAACCGCAGCGUGCGGCAUUCAGGAAAAGUCGCCCAGUGCGGCGGUGGCUCCUCGUCGACGCCCAUACAUCUGCCCAGCGUGCGCAGCCAGGCCUUGGCGGCACGGUUCCACAUCAAGGACCCACCGCGCGUUAUGACACACUUGGCGACGGGCACACUUGUAUGUGUGAGCCGGCAGUGGACCUCGCUGGGCCUGCCCGUGUGCGUCCUCUGCGACAGCGGGCGCUCCAGGGGUUCCUUGAGGGCGUGGUCAAAGAGCGGCCCGCCGUCCGAGGCCAGUGGUCCCGUGGGCUCCAACGCAUAGUCGACCAUGGCGUCGGUCCAGGGCAGGAGCCGCGCGCCCAAAAGACGCACAAACCUGACAAAAUCGUCGGGCGCGUGCGCCGGAUCGGGGUAGUAGAUGACGUUGGUGGGCGACCGCGAACCCGACCAUGGCAGCGAUGUGGCGGGGUCGGUCGUGCCUGCGGUACAAGGGCUCUCAAGGCAAAUGCACAGCGUCUCGUAGGUUGUGCGCUUGCUCAGAAUAGCCGUGUCACGGCUCACAGGGCCGAGUGUCUUGUCGAUGCAGCAUACGAGAUCGCAACCCCAUAGAUUCCAUUCACUCCACCAUUCGGCGCAGGCCAGGGGCGACCCUGGGCGUGUGCGUGUGACCGUGCCCGUCGGCGAGCCACGGUCCCACGUGUCGCAGGCGAGACGAGUCCCAUCGACGAGGGUCAAGACGCCGCGGCCCGUUGGCAUCGUCGCAUAGGAGACCGACGGCGCCCGGCACGGUUGCUCAAACACGGACCCGUCCACGUAUUCGAUCCUGGUUCGCUUGCCCGUGUCGCGAUCAUUGCGGCACCAGAGGCCGACAGAGCGCACGCGCGGAUCGCCGAUCAUCGCCCAGUCGACCGUGGUCCCCCAUGUAAAGUCGCACUCGUAGCAGAGGCCACUACUAGGAGUCUGGUCGCCGAGUUUCGAAAACACGCACCAACCUUGAUUGCGCCCGGCAACCCACCCGCCGGCGCAUUGGAUAUGCGAAAUGCGACACGUGGCCACGCCGCGCCCGUGGCGGGCGCCGCCCUUCCAGGCGCCCACAUAGGAGCACUGGCCCGACACGUCGACGGAUUCGCCGGGGCCGUGGGCCAUGCCGCGACGCCACUGACACGUCAUCGUGCUGCCGUACGUACGGCGGACCCCGUGGCCGUGCCAGAGGCCGUCCUCCCACGUCCCGGCGUACCAGCGAGCAUUCUCGGUAGGCGUCGACAAGUGGUCGGCGGCCUCGACGCCAAAGCCUUGGAUGCGAUGGGCGGCGUCAAACCAGCCGUGCACCGAGCAUUCGUGGACCGCUGGAAGGCCCGGCGCUCGCUCGCGCGACCCGCCCAACGUGCCGCCGUGCCAUGCAAAGCGUUGGUCGACGCCCGCGAUUGCCAGCACGCACAGCCAUCGCCAGCGGUCGUCGGGAUCAGACGUGACGACGACCUCGCCUCGGACAAUGGCCGCGUAGAGUGGCGCACCAAGUAUGCCCCAUGCGGCGCAGAGGGCGCGCCACGGUCGCGGGUCCAUGCAGAUGCGCGCCAGCGUCCGGCACGUGCAUGCUGCCUUGCCCAGGGAGACGGCAUCAAGGCCAGCCGCCACCAUGACCAAGAGUUCGUCUGGCAGAGCGCUUAGGUGCCAUCGUUGAUCCAUAAUUUUUUGUUUUUCUGGCAGCACCCAAUGUUUUCUCUCUUUUUUCCACCUCUUUUUUUUCGUGUGGUUGCGCCUUUUUGCCGAGGCUCUGUGCGCCAGCGGCCAACCGCUCUGUUUUUCGAUGAUGGCGACGCAAUACAACAACAAGUCGAAAGGCAGAGGGCAGACAGCCCUCGGUGCACCCGCCGAGAACAAUGCGGACAAAAACUCAAACAAAAAAGGGGAUUGGGUAGGACCCUGACCAAUCGCAAUCAAAAGAAACAGUAGAAAAACAAAC
rnacentral:lncRNA from 1 species